ACAACCGAGGCAGAGCGCCGUCGCCGUCCUCCGACAACGACGGGGGCGCCACCGCGCGGCACCGACGCCGACGCCCGCCACCGAUCGAUAGUCACCGACCGUCGACGACGAUGACGACGACGACGACGACAACGACGACGACGACGACGAAGACGACGAAGACGACGAUGAGGAGGACUACGCUGAGGACGACGACGACGAUGACGACGAGAACGACGACGAUGAGAACAACGACGACGAGGAUGACGACGCCGCCAACCACCACCACUACGCCACGGAACCGCUAUACUACUAUUGCACUCCGGAAACGAAGACUUGGUGGUGACGGCACGUAUUCUAUAAAUAUAAACAAGUCGCACAGCUUUCCAUCUAUAUUUGCACCUUUACGACCACGCCUUCGAUACUCAUCGUUAUCAAUUUGCCGUGUUUUGCUCACGAUUUCACGAAAGUGUCCGUAAAACGUCUCUAGACGUUGCAGGGCUUGUCCAUUCGCGAAACGAGCGAGCGAGCGGCGCCUUAAAAUACGGUCGCAGGACCGUCAUUAGGAACACCUUUUAAGUGCGCCUCGGGCGAGCACUGUUGCCGCGAUAAGGGUGGAGGCGCUUCCUUCUCGUACUCCCGUCAGCGUACGCAUCGUGCGUAAUGUGAACCGGAUGAAGGGGUGGGAGGCCAGGAAGAGAGUGAACGAGAGUGAAAAAAAAAGAAACGAGAAAAGAAAAAAAGAAAAAAAAGGGAAAAGAACACGGAGGAGGUAGAGCGUGCGAGAGACUAGGAGGGAAAAAAGGGAGCUUCAGUGAGAAGGAGGCGAGUAUAAACGUAAAAGGGGAGCGACCGAGAAAGACUUUUAAAAAGAGAGGCAGAGAGGUAGACAGAGAAAGAAGAAACAGAUGUAGAGCAGCGAGGUCGUAACGAAGGGAAAGAGACGAAUUACGUGAAAGAACGGAUAAGGGAAUAGGGUUCGGAAAGAGAGAGAGAAAGAGGAAAAACGGAGGGAGAGACUACUGAUAGAUAAGAAAAGUCAUCACGGUCAGUGCGCGCGCCGCGCCACACCGUCAUUCAUUGAUUGCAUCGUGGCGUGCGGUCUGCCGUGGAGAACGUACGUUUCACGUCGCUAAUGUGCACCGGAUGAAAGGAGAAAGGGAGAAGAAACGGACGAAUAUAGAAGCGAGGGGAAGCAGAGAAAACUACCGGGAGUAGGAAGGCACACUUUGCCGGCAACGUAUAUUCGGCUUUCUCUUUCUCUUUUUCCAUGUGCCCGGCAGGUUCUUCUCUCUUUAUCUCGCUCAUUUUCUCCGCCGUUCGCUAGCGGUGAAACCAGACUCGGUUAAACGGUUCGCGCGAAGAAUUCAUCGUGGCAUGAAAACCGACAGCGGCUACUCCACAGAAAUUGCGCCCUUUUGCAACCAAAUUCGAGAUUAGCCAAAGAAGGAUACGAUACUCGUUCACUGAUAAAUUUUUCCAUCGUACGUUUCUACCUUUCCUGUUUUGUAUAUUAAAAUUUUUAAUUACUUCGCCUCGCUAUCGGAAUAUCGAAAUGUUAUCGAGAAAUUUGUACAACUGUACAGCGUAUGCAAUAAAUAUCAAUUUCAAUUU